rnacentral:lncRNA from 1 species
AAGUGCAUUGAAGAGUACAAACUUGAGGCUGAGUUUCCACCUGAAAACCUCAAGAAACGCCUUGAACAGCUAGAGAAGACCAAGACUGAGAAGAGGAAGGCAGCUGCAGUCCCUGCUAAUAAGCGAACGCGGGCUAGUAAUGGCGGUCCUAUGCCUCCAGCUAAAGCUGGCCGUUUGAUGAAUGCAUAUGUCUCAUCCUUUCCUGCACCUCCUACAUUUGUUAGGUCUCCUUCACACACUCAAUACCCUGCAGCAGUCCCAGCAUACCCAUCCCCACCUGCCAUGUAUGGAAGCAGGAGCCCACCGACCAAUCCCUAUGCUUAUUCACCAGAAGCAGCGCCUCCUCCCCUUUCUGGUUCUUACCCUGGUGCUCCCAUGAACUAUCCUGCAUAUGGGGGUUAUGGCAAUGGUUUGGCACCAGCUUAUCAGCAGGCUUACUACCGAUAGACAAUGACUACUCUGGAGAUGGUAACCACUGAUAUGAUG